AAGUCAGCAGUGCAGUUGAUUAGCAAGCACCCCCGACAAGGGUGAGAUGCGGGUUCGAUUCCCGCCUGACGUU